GGGCCCGCACAAGCGGUGGAGUAUGUGGUUUAAUUCGAUGCAACGCGAAGAACCUUACCAGGGUUUGACAUCCUGCGAAUCUCUUGGAAACGAGAGAGUGCCUUCGGGAACGCAGUGACAGGUGGUGCAUGGCUGUCGUCAGCUCGUGUCGUGAGAUGUUGGGUUAAGUCCCGCAACGAGCGCAACCCACGUCGUUAGUUGCCAGCAUUUAGUUGGGCACUCUAGCGAGACCGCCGGUGAUAAACCGGAGGAAGGUGUGGAUGACGUCAAGUCCUCAUGGCCCUUAUGGGUAGGGCUACACACGUCAUACAAUGGCUGGUACAAAGGGUUGCCAACCCGCGAGGGGGAGCUAAUCCCAUAAAGCCAGUCGUAGUCCGGAUCGUAGUCUGCAACUCGACUACGUGAAGUCGGAAUCGCUAG
rnacentral:rRNA from 1 species